rnacentral:rRNA from 1 species
GAUGAACGCUGGCGGCGUGCCUAAUACAUGCAAGUCGAGCGAACAGACGAGGAGCUUGCUCCUCUUACGUUAGCGGCGGACGGGUGAGUAACACGUGGAUAACCUACCUAUAAGACUGGGAUAACUUCGGGAAACCGGAGCUAAUACCGGAUAAUAUAUUGAACCGCAUGGUUCAAUAGUGAAAGACGGUUUUGCUGUCACUUAUAGAUGUAUCCGCGCCGCAUUAGCUAGUUGGUAAGGUAACGGCUUACCAAGGCAACGAUGCGUAGCCGACCUGAGAGGGUGAUCGGCCACACUGGAACUGAGACACGGUCCAGACUCCUACGGGAGGCAGCAGUAGGGAAUCUUCCGCAAAGGGCGAAAGCCUGACGGAGCAACGCCGCGUGAGUGAUGAAGGUCUUCGGAUCGUAAAACUCUGUUAUUAGGGAAGAACAAAUGUGUAAGUAACUAUGCACGUCUUGACGGUACCUAAUCAGAAAGCCACGGCUAACUACGUG